rnacentral:rRNA from 1 species
AAAGUCUGAUGGAGCAACGCCGCGUGAGUGAUGAAGGAUUUCGUAUCGUAAAACUCUGUUGUAAAGGAAGAGCCAGUACGUCAGGCAAUGGACGUACCUUGACGGUACCUUAUUAGAAAGCCACGGCUAACUACGUGCCAGCAGCCGCGGUAAUACGUAGGUGGCAAGCGUUGUCCGGAUUUACUGGGCGUAAAGGGUGCGUAGGCGGAUAUUUAAGUCAGAUGUGAAAACCCCGGGCUUAACUUGGGGACUGCAUUUGAAACUGGAUGUCUAGAGUGCAGGAGAGGAAAGCGGAAUUCCUAGUGUAGCGGUGAAAUGCGUAGAGAUUAGGAAGAACACCAGUGGCGAAGGCGCCUUUCUGGACUGUAACUGACGCUGAGGCACGAAAGCGUGGGUAGCAAACA